rnacentral:rRNA from 1 species
UACGGGGGGAGCAAGCGUUGUUCGGAUUUACUGGGCGUAAAGGGCGCGUAGGCGGCCAGCACAAGUCAGUUGUGAAAUCUCCGAGCUUAACUCAGAAAGGUCAACUGAUACUGUGCGGCUAGAGUGCGGAAGGGGCAACUGGAAUUCUUGGUGUAGCGGUGAAAUGCGUAGAUAUCAAGAGGAACACCUGCGGCGAAGGCGGGUUGCUGGGCCGACACUGACGCUGAGGCGCGAAAGCCAGGGGAGCAAACGGG